AAGCCCCACCUAACCCCACUACCCACCACUCCUUUUUUCACUUAUCUCUUACUCUUUUUGACCGACUCCUCACUUCCUCACUUCUCUUUUCUUUCUUUUUCUUCUUGUUCAUUUUCGGUGCAACGCUCCUCUUCACUCUUUUAAACUCUCUUGUCGGCACCUCCAUAUCACCAUUUCCAUCAUCAUUUUUCCGGCAAGAUCACCGGAAAAUUCUUGGGAACCCAUAAAUACCUUCACAUCCUUUUUUUGAGGUUCUAACUAAUCUCCUUGGAGCUUGGAGAAUUAGGAUUUUGCGGUUGUGAGUCUUUGUGACAACGAAAUCAAAUCCAGGUCAGUGCCCUUUCACUUUGGAUGACGCGUUCUUCCCUGCUGUCCAUGGGGGGAAGAGGUUCCUUGAUUGUGUAUGGGUGAGGCUGCUGUCCAUGGGGCCAAAAGACCACACGCAAGAAAGGUCCUAUUUAACGCGCUCUCUCUGCUGCCCACGGGGGGAGAGAAAAACCUUGAGGAUAUGGGUGAGGCUGCUAUCCAUGGGGCCAAGAGUCUGCAUAUCAAAGAGGACAAUAUCAUGCUAGUUGUAAAUAGGUAAAUCCUCUGACCGGUCAAUGUGGUAGUUUGGUAUAUUUGUGAUAAUUUACCUUACGUUAGAUAUUAUGGUUUUGAAAAUUAUAUUGUUAGUGCUCACAGAUUAUAGUAUAUAGUUUCAAGGUAUUUACUUUGAAAAACUUUAUGUUUCAUUAUUAGAUCAUUCUUGUCAGAUUAUUAUUGUUGAAGAUGAAACUUGCAUUUCCCCCACCCCCAUUAAAUAUGCUACUUACUUGGUUCUGUCUCAUUCCAUUAUUUUAUAAACUUUUUAGAGUAGACAAUAAUCUUUUGAGAUAGCUUUUUGGUGGCUUAUAGUAGUAGACUAACUAUUGAUGGAGGCUAAAGUUUUGUAAUGGAGAUAUUAGAUGUUGUACAUCUUAGAGUAGGCUUGACUCAUUCUUUUGUGUAUUAUAGUGGUUGUGACUUUAUUCCCACUAAUGGGACAAGCUGUUGAUAUGUAAUUAUUGAUUUAGACCUCUAUUCUUUUGUGGCCAUUGGUCCUUGUAAUUAUUGCUUAGAACUCUGACUUACUCUGA